CGUCAAUUAUACUCAAAAUUCUUUCAGUGCAACAAUGGUUGAAAAGUUCCUUAAUUCUGUGUAUUUAUAUGACUUUUAGCGUAGAAAAAGUAUCAGAAAUUGUGUAAACCUAUUCUUCUCCAGUUCGACUUAAAAAAUGAAUUUGUUCAUUGCUUUCAUUUGUGCUUUCGUGUCAAGUGUGGUUAAUGGUGUAGCAAUAAAUGACAUUGUGGAAAAGUCAUUGUCAUUGUAUAAUUUGGAAAAUGAAUGAAGGUGGUUGACAUCAAAGAUGUUAAAGAAAGAAUUCAAAGAAUUGGAUUAACGAUGGUAAAAGAGGGCUUUAAACAUGAACAAUUUAAAAAGAGUCAACUGACCACCUGGUUCGGACCACCCAAUACAUUAUAUUUGGAUGAUGUAUACAACGAAUAUGAUAAAAUGAUUACAGAUAUGAAGGAAUUUCUAAAUGAUGUACGUUAUUGUGAAACGCAAUACCAAGAGAAGAGCUAUGGAGCUGGUAAAUUAAAAAAAAUGAAAGGAUUAAUUCGGGAAAUUAUCUCAUUGAAUCCAAUGGGUCCACCACUUUCAACUAACGCAAUUAAAACAUACAAUGGAACCAUUUUUACACCCAUUAGAAACGCACCAAUACUUCGCUACAGUAACUAUUACACGUUUGUAGAAUGUGUUGUCGAGAAUUAUAACAUGUAUCUGGAAACUCGAGUAGAUGGUCAUUCUAACAUUCAAGAAAAAGCAACCGAAAUUGAAGAUUCAAGAGCCAUGAUCGAUGAACUAUUAUAUUGAAUAAUAUAUUAACAUUUGCACAAAAAUUGAUUCUUACUAUCGAAGAUCAAUAAAAAAAAUUAAUCUAAAAAAUUCCCAUUUAAA